rnacentral:rRNA from 1 species
GACGAAGGUGGCGAGCGUUACUCGGAAUUACUAGGCGUAAAGCGUGGGAGGGGGGUUCGGCAGGUCUGUUGUGGAAGCUCCCGGCUCAACCGGGAGAGGCCAAUGGAUACUACCGAGCUUGAAUGUGGGAGAGGUCACUGGAAUUCCUGGUGUAGCGGUGAAAUGCGUAGAGAUCAGGAGGAACACCGAUGGCGAAAGCAGGUGACUGGACCACUAUUGACACUGAGCCACGAAAGCUAGGGGAGCAAACAGG